rnacentral:rRNA from 1 species
GACGAACGCUGGCGGCGUGCCUAAUACAUGCAAGUAGAACGCUGAAGGGAGGAGCUUGCUCUUCUUGGAUGAGUUGCGAACGGGUGAGUAACGCGUAGGUAACCUGCCUUGUAGCGGGGGAUAACUAUUGGAAACGAUAGCUAAUACCGCAUAACAAUGGAUGACCCAUGUCAUUUAUUUGAAAGGGGCAAAUGCUCCACUACAAGAUGGACCUGCGUUGUAUUAGCUAGUGGGUGAGGUAACGGCUCACCUAGGCGACGAUACAUAGCCGACCUGAGAGGGUGAUCGGCCACACUGGGACUGAGACACGGCCCAGACUCCUACGGGAGGCAGCAGUAGGGAAUCUUCGGCAAUGGGGGCAACCCUGACCGAGCAACGCCGCGUGAGUGAAGAAGGUUUUCGGAUCGUAAAGCUCUGUUGUAAGUCAAGAACGAGUGUGAGAGUGGAAAGUUCACACUGUGACGGUAGCUUACCAGAAAGGGACGGCUAACUACGUG